ACCAGAGGGCACCCUCACUUCUGCUAACACACAGCAAGACACCAUCUAUGAAUCAGGAAGCAGGUCCUUUCAGGAGAAUCGCCAACACUUGGAUCUUGGACUUAGCCUCCAAAACGUUGGUUUAUCAUCUACUCCACGCCUUGGGCAUGUGCUUCUCCAGGAUAUGGCUAUGAAGUGGAACGGUCUCCCAUCUCCCCAGCCUUCCCAGUGGUCCUCUCCACUCAACUGACUUUGCCGUCACACACCAAGAUGGCAACUAGAAAUGGCUGUUUUUAAU